UUUUCAAACCCUCCAGACUUCAAUGCCCACCCUUCUUCCUGAUGCUCGGAAACAAAGAACCCCAUCUUGAUCCCUGACAGCAGCAUUGUUCAGAGCCAGUUCACUCACCCCAGGGUUUCAACGGUUGAACUCAGCUCUUCCGGCUUGGCUACAGAACACCUCUACCUGAUAACCAUCUUCCUGUCCCCUUUACGUCAUAUUUCCAACCAACAGUUUCCACAGCAGAAAGAUGUUUCCGGCGAACAGCUACACACCCACCACCCAACAGUUCUGCAAUGAAUCACUCUACAUUAGCUCACUUUGACAGAUGUGUCUGAGGUAGAUCCGACAGCUGGCCAGUGAAGCCUCUGUGAAGGGAAGCCCAUCUGUGACUUUACUCUCCUAAGCACCUCCAAACCAUUCUCAAACAACGUCGUCUCACUUUUAUUGUAAAAGGCAUGCCGUGUUAAAAGGA